GGCUGAGUAACACGUGGGUAACCUGCCUGUAAGACUGGGAUAACUCCGGGAAACCGGGGCUAAUACCGGAUGCUUGUUUGAACCGCAUGGUUCAAACAUAAAAGGUGGCUUUUAGCUACCACUUACAGAUGGACCCGCGGCGCAUUAGCUAGUUGGUGAGGUAACGGCUCACCAAGGCAACGAUGCGUAGCCGACCUGAGAGGGUGAUCGGCCACACUGGGACUGAGACACGGCCCAGACUCCUACGGGAGGCAGCAGUAGGGAAUCUUCCGCAAUGGACGAAAGUCUGACGGAGCAACGCCGCGUGAGUGAUGAAGGUUUUCGGAUCGUAAAACUCUGUUGUUAGGGAAGAACAAGUACCGUUCGAAUAGGGCGGUACCUUGACGGUACCUGACCAGAAAGCCACGGCUAACUACGUGCCAGCAGCCGCGGUAAUACGUAGGUGGCAAGCGUUGUCCGGAAUUAUUGGGCGUAAAGCGCGCGCAGGCGGUUUCUUAAGUCUGAUGUGAAAGCCCCCGGCUCAACCGGGGAGGGUCAUUGGAAACUGGGGAACUUGAGUGCAGAAGAGGAGAGUGGAAUUCCACGUGUAGCGGUGAAAUGCGUAGAGAUGUGGAGGAACACCAGUGGCGAAGGCGACUCUCUGGUCUGUAACUGACGCUGAGGCGCGAAAGCGUGGGGAGCGAACAGGAUUAGAUACCCUGGUAGUCCACGCCGUAAACGAUGAGUGCUAAGUGUUAGAGGGUUUCCGCCCUUUAGUGCUGCAGCAAACGCAUUAAGCACUCCGCCUGGGGAGUACGGUCGCAAGACUGAAACUCAAAGGAAUUGACGGGGGCCCGCA
rnacentral:rRNA from 1 species